UUCAACACCUCCUGCUUCCCUUGCCACAUACCAUGCCAGGCAGGUUACAUCACGUCCUUAUCUCAUAGAUAAGGCCAGCUCGAGCUUCUCGGUCCAUUCGACUGAUUUCGACCCUUCCGAUGAAUUUUCGUCCCGCGAUCAAUCCCGAAUAUUUUUCUACGCCCGUUCUGAUGAGAUGAAUAUUUUUAAUAAACUCCAAGUGAAUCCUGACCUUGAUGGAAAAUAUUUCUCGAGCCUCCGGCUUCCUCGAAAAAUCGAUAAUACCAAAAUUAGGGUUUUCGCCCAACUUCGGGUUUUCCCGUCGUGCUUCAAUCCCGUCGUGCUUGCUUCCCGUCCUGCUUAAUUCCCGUCCUGCUUGACUUAUAAUGUCUUCAGAAUAAUAUUUUACUGAUACGAAGAUAUUCUGAGAAAACUUCGCGAUGAAGAAACGUCAAUCUUCAAAAACGUCGAGCUUCUAAACCGUCGUGCUUCAAAAAUGUGAUUCUUCCAAAACUGCCGUCUGAUCAAUCUAACACUUUUCUAACCAUGGUCCAGCAGCUUAUGGUUUACCCAUGAUCAAUUCUUCGACCAUCCAUUGCCCGCGGUACAACCACUAAAUAAUAAUAUUUUUUUUUUUUUUUUUUUUUUUUUAAGGGUUUCUACAUUCUCCCCCCGUUAACAGAAUUCGUCCUCGAAUUCUAUGGCUCUGAGGGGCCUCCUUCUUUCAUUACAACGUCCUCUCGGAAUAACUCCGGGUGAUCGGUUUUAAAUCUCGCUUCAUCCUCCCAAGUAACAUGAAUCCUGUUUUGUCUUCCCCAGAACACUUGUACUUGAGCAAUCUCACGCUUUUUGAGCUUCCGAAUACGCCGUUCUCCUAAUCUGAUUGGUCCUUCCGGAUACGUAAGGUUUGUCUCCAACUCCUCGAUUCUCUCGGGUUCAACAGCACUUGGAUCCCGUAUAUGUUUCCGAAGCAUGGAAACAUGGAAUACUGGAUGUAGAUGCAUAUCUGCUGGCAGAUCCAAUCGGUAAGCUACCUCACCAACUUUCCCGAUGAUCUGUACGGACCAAUGAACCUGACCGCAAGUUUCCCGCCCUUGCCAAAUCUGUCCUUCCCUUUCUGUGCAGUAACCUUCAAAUAGACCCAAUCUCCUAUCUCAAAAGUUACUUCUCUUCUUGACUGGUCUGCGUACUUCUUCUGACGGUCUUGAGCCUUCUUCAU
rnacentral:lncRNA from 1 species